CCCGCUUACGCAGUUCCUCCCGGGGUCGGAGGCCGAUUCGCCGUGUGGCGGGUUCGAGUCCCGCCUCCUGACUCUGGCCUCUAUCUCCUGAGUCCCGGGCGGGGUGCAUUCGCCGGGGAAACCUCUCUUCGACCAGGGGCACCUCUACUCGACCAGGGGCGACGGCGUACUUUGGGCUUCAUCAUGGAGGACUACCUGCAGGGUUGUCGAGCUGCUCUGCAGGAGUCCCGACCUCUACAUGUUGUGCUGGGAAAUGAAGCCUGUGAUUUGGACUCCAUGGUGUCUGCUCUUGCCCUGGCUUUUUACCUAGCAAAGAAGGUUCAUAUUCCAGAGAGUAUCUUGAUUUUUCGGGAUGAGAUUGACCUCCAUGCAUUACACCAGGCUGGCCAACUCACCCUCAUCCUUGUCGACCAUCAUAUCUUAUCCAAGACUGACCACUGAGCAGAUGCUGAGAAAGGACCAGAAGACUAUCUAUAGACAAGGCGUCAAGGUGGCCAUUAGUGCAAUAUAUAUGGAUUUGGAGGCCUUUCUGCAGAGGUCUAACCUCGUUGCAGAUCUCCAUGCUUUCUGCCAGGCUCACAGCUAUGAUGUCCUGGUUGCCAUGACUAUCUUUUUCAACACUCACAAUGAGCCAGUGCGGCAGUUGGCUAUUUUCUGUCCCCAUGUGGCACUCCGAACAACGAUCUGUGGAGUCCUGGAACACUCCCACUCUCCAUCCCUGAAGCUUACCCC
rnacentral:sRNA from 1 species